CCCAUUUGUUCAGCACUUGGACGGAGAUGCCAGCAGCUUCCAGGCAGAGGGAGAAUCGAAGGUUUGUCUUCACUUGACUUCUCGCUCACACCAUCUGGCUGAUGGAGAAUCCUUUCAUUUCUUCCCGUGGCUGGACCAAAGGGAGAAUGACUGUGAAUAGAAGUGCCUUUUCAACCUUCACUUGUAUCCAUUUUUAAAAGGACAAAUAAGCAUUAUUCACAAUAGCAAGAUGUGGGAACAACUCAAGUGUUAAUCAACAGAUGAGUGGAUAAAGAAAAUGUGCUAUACAUGUACAGUGUGAUAUUAUUCAGCUUUACAAAGGAAGGAAAUCCUGCCAUUUAUGGACAAUGUGGAUGAACCUGGAGGACAUUAUGCUAAGCAAAAUAAGCCAGUACCAAAGGUCAAGUACUGCAUGAUUCCACUUGUAUGAGAGAUCUUUAUAGUCAACAUCAUAGAAGUAGUGAGUGCAAUAGGGCUUGCCAGGGGCUGCAAUGUUAUUCAUCAGGUAUGCUAGAUGAAUAUGUUCUAGAGAUCUGCUGUACAACGUUGUACCUAUAGUAAACAAUACAGUAUGGUGUAUUUCAACAUUUGUUAAGAGAGUAGGUCUCAAUUUAAGUGUUCUUACGACAAAAAUAAACAAAAAACACAAAAACGAGACACAAAGAAACUAUGGGGGCUGGGUGCAGUGGCUCACACCUGUAAGCCCAGCACUUUGGGAGGAUGAAGCGGAUAGAUUACCUUAGGUCAGGAGUUCGGGACCAACCUGGCCAAAUCUGUCUCUAUUAAAAAUACAAAAAAAUUAGCCGGGCACGGUGGCAUGCACCUGUAGUCCCAGGUACUCAGGAGGCUGAGGCAGGAGAAUAGCUUCAACUAGGAGUUGGAGGCUGCAGUGAGCUGAGAUCACGCCACUGCACUCCAGCCUGGGUGACAGUGAGACUCUGUCUCAAAACAAACAAACAAACAAACAAAAACAAAAAAGAAACUAUGGAAAUUGCUGGAUCUGUCUACUACGUUAAUAGUGGUAAUUGUAACAAGAAUGUUUGCAUAUGUUUAAACUUAUCAAAUUGUAUACUUUAAAUAUGUGUACUUCUUCAUAAUAUCAGUUAUGCUUCAAUAAAGCUGUUAAGAAGUUUUAAUUUAUUUAAAUUUGUGUUAACCUGUCACUUUGUGAGGGUCAUCUACUUUUUAUACAAAGUCACUGCAACCUACAUACUUAAUUCUUUUGUACUGUUUUGAAAUAAGCAUACACUUGCAGACACAUGUUUCUACAACAUUCUUUGCUUUCCCAAUAGGCAAGUUCAAACUCAGAAGGCGAAAGUCCAGCGGAAAGUACCGGAACUGAGGGAAAACUAUUUGCCUAACCACCCACACCACUGAAUGCUUUCUUGGAAUCUGCUGUGUGUUUAAGAUGAUAUCCUACCCACACACAUGUAACCUUUACCUUUUUGCAAACCAAAUCUGAUUCUACAAGGAAAGCACAAAAAUAAAAAUAUUUUUCUCUCAAA